UGCACAUGAUGCUCAGUGGCCGUCUUAGGAC
rnacentral:piRNA from 1 species